rnacentral:lncRNA from 1 species
CAAAUUGACCCAUAUAUGUUUAGUAACUAUCGAAUAACUUGAUUUAAAUACUCUCUAAGUUUCUUUUAAGUUUAAGAAAAUAUAUUUUGCAUAGUUAAUUGAUUUUAGGGUCUAGAAGACUUACAUAAGACUUAAAAGAAGUCUUCCGACACAUCCCGCCUAAAUUUUAGUAGAAUUUAGGGUUCCCGCCUAAAUUUUGGAAAAAUUUAGGUAUCCUGC